rnacentral:lncRNA from 1 species
CUGCAAUCAAAGAAUCAAAGGUACCGUGGAAGUGAAAUUAUGGAGAAAUGACAGUGUAGAUGGUGGCAUCACUGAUCUGGAGGGCAGUUCUCAGGAAGUAAAGAAUGUGGUAUGAGAACUGAAAGGGAGACUAAUGACUGAGAAAACUGACAAACACUGACGGGUAAAGAGAAUAGGAGGUCACACUUUAGAUGUGCCACAUUGCUAAGGUACAGAAAUAGCCGGUGAUAACUUUAGAAAAUUAAGUAUUUUGAGAAAAUUAAGUAUUUCUAAGCUGCAGAGAGGAGAGAAUGGAUUGAUGGGCUCCUGUUCCUGAGGUAAAUCACUUCAAACAGACGUUCUCAGCCUGUGGGUUUUGACCCUAAGAGCCACAACCACUUUCAAAGGCAUGUGCCUAUUGAGUAUUAAAAUUAUGAUUUAUGGUAGCAAAAUUCCAGUUGUGAAGCAGCUAAGAAAAUAAUGUUAUGGUUAGGAAAUCAACCUAACAUGAGGAACUGUAUUAACAGGUUGCUGCAUUAAGAAGGCUGAGAACCACUGACUUAAAAAGACCUAAAUCUAGACACACACGGACAUCUGAGGGUUACAAACAAAUAUAGACACCAAGCAGCGCUGUGAAGUAACCCCCACACUCCUAAGACACCCAUGGAAGAGCAAAGGUCAGACUGACUUCCGGUCUGCAAUGGAGAGAGUACCACAUACCAGAAUUUAUACACAGCCCAGGAGACUUUCUUGGUUACACAAGCUGGCUUCCUGAUACUCCCCAGUUUUCUGAGGACGUCUCCUCCGUGUUAUGAAAUACAACCGUGAGACUGAAAAAAUAAAC